rnacentral:tRNA from 1 species
UUUUGGGUGGCUGAGGUGGAAGCAUUAGACUUUUAAUCUAACUACGAUAUUUAUUUUGUAUCUCCGGUGC